AGUAGUUUCAUCCUCUUUUAUAUUUACUAUGUUUUAUGGUUCUAUAAAUGGAAUGUUAAUUUGAUUGUGAAUGAGGAAGCCACAAAUAAUGAUCUUUGUUUAGUUUUAUAUUGGAUAUACUCUUCAAUUUUUCUUUUUUACCUUUUGUUUUGAUUUCAAGUAUUUUUUAUUCUGCAUUCUGUUUUGAUGUUAUUAUAUUUGCAUUUAUGGUUCUUUAUUACUUUUGAUCAAAUUAUAUGCAUAUGGUUCAUAAAUGAAGACUACACUAGGUGUUGUUUUUUUAUCUCAAUAUGAAAUCAAUUGGUUGAUUGCAUGAUAGUGUAAUGACAUAAGAAGUUACAAACUUGAUAUAGAAGACUCUGAGGUCCGCAAAAGGAAUGAGUCACCAACUUAGUCACCUUAGAUAAGAAUCUAGAAAAAAUUUCUGUUAGAAUAUGAGUCAUUGUUUUAUGCCUGUUAUCUUAAGAAACAUUCAUAUCAUCUCAUGUACACCUUAUGAAAAAUGGAACGAAGGGGUAAAAUGUUGAAGAAAUUAGUUAAUGCUAGGACGAAUCUUUAGUCUUUCAAGUUUCAACCACUAUUUUUAUGUGUCUAAGCUCAAUUCUCAUUCCCCUGAUUUUCAAUGCAUUCAGUUUACAUCAAAUAGUUUACAUCAGUUUACAUUAGAUAAUCUUUAGAUGUAUUUAUGCAAAUUCCAUUUUAUUAUCCCUAUCUAAAAUGUUGUAUGGCAUCGAUCUACAUGUUUCCUUCGGGGUUUCCUUAUAUGCUUAACCCCCAAAUUGUGGAUGUUUGUCUUUGAACGAAUAUCUUAUUAAUAUUAACUCAUGUGGCAAUGUGUCACUGCAAAUGAAUGAAGCAGAGAACAAGUACACAAAGUUAUAUUAAUUCACGCAUGCGUAUUAAUAGCUAUGAACUGAUAUGGAAGAUUCAAAGUUUCAUGGUGAGGAUAUCCAACGGGUGUUAGUAUAUAGAUUGAUUACUAUGACCCAUUUACAGAUGAUUGGGUCUGAUCAGUUUACUCUCUUGCAAAGUUCAAGUGAUGCACUCUCUUUCACUCAUUAAUUCCAAUUAAUAUUUGCAUAAGGAUCUCUACACAAUUUAAAGAAAUGACAUCUGAAAUAUAUUCUUAUUAAUUUAUAGGAUAUGCCCCUGUUGUGUUGAUAAAAAUCCAUAUUUUUUUUCUUUCUUUCUUUUAUCCAUUAUGGACUUGCAAAUUUGAAGGUGGUGUAAAUCUGAAUAUUUGAGUACCAUUACUUUACCUUUUUCUUUCUUUGUUCUUUCCUUUUUCCAGUUUAAUUAUGCUUAAAAGACCAUUAACUCUAUUGAGUACCAUUACUUUAUGUUUUUUUUAUAUCUCAUUCUUUAUUCAUUUUCAUAUUCGUUAUUUUACAGGACUUUCGGAACAUAUUUUUUCUGCAGUGAUGUUGCUAUUCAACCAACAACCACGAUAAAAAAGGGCAAUAACCAUUCGGACCAUGGAUUCAAAUUGUGGUCCGUGUCCGCAAUUGUGCCGCAAUAUUGCUGAUGGUAGCCUUUACAGCUGCAUCGCACUGCAAUUGCAGCGUGAUUUUCAAUCCUGUGUGCGGCCACAUCAAGAACUGCAUCAGACGAUUUCAACUAUAUUUGUUCAAAUUUUCUCACAAAAAUUCAAAAUUUAGUACUCAAAUUUCAAUCAACUUUAGAUCUAAUGAAAAAAUUUACAUUUAACGGUUUCUCAAUUUUGUAUUUCUAGCACCUUUCAAUUAGUAUUUACGAAGUAAACUAAAAUUGUGCUAUAUAUGGUGAGGAAAUAGUGUAUUAUCACACUGGUGCAGUGGUGCUACUUAGAGUAAUUUGUGGAAAUAUAAAAUUAUUUCAUACUGCUUA